UCUGUGGAUAAGCCUGGGAAACUGGGUCUAAUACCGGAUAGGACCAUGCUUUAGUGUGUGUGGUGGAAAGUUUUUUCGGUGUAGGAUGAGCCCGCGGCCUAUCAGCUUGUUGGUGGGGUAAUGGCCUACCAAGGCGGCGACGGGUAGCCGGACUGAGAGGUUGGUCGGCCACAUUGGGACUGAGAUACGGCCCAG
rnacentral:rRNA from 1 species